rnacentral:rRNA from 1 species
CUCAGUUCGGAUUGGAGUCUGCAACCCGACUCCAUGAAGCUGGAUUCGCUAGUAAUCGCGCAUCAGCCACGGCGCGGUGAAUACGUUCCCGGGCCUUGUACACACCGCCCGUCAAGCCAUGGGAGCCGGGGGUGCCUGAAGGCCGUGACCGCGAGGAGCGGCCUAGGGUAAAACUGGUGACUGGGGCUAAGUCGUAACAAGGUAUC